UACGGAGGGGGCUAGCGUUGUUCGGAAUUACUGGGCGUAAAGCGCACGUAGGCGGCUUUGUAAGUUAGAGGUGAAAGCCCGGGGCUCAACUCCGGAAUUGCCUUUAAGACUGCAUCGCUAGAAUUGUGGAGAGGUAAGUGGAAUUCCGAGUGUAGAGGUGAAAUUCGUAGAUAUCAGGAGGAACACCAAUGGCGAAGGCAGCUCACUGGGACGAUACUGACGCUCAGGCACGAAAGCGUGGGGAGCAAACAGG
rnacentral:rRNA from 1 species